CUGACCACUGGUUAGUUCUAGAUUCUAUUGAUAUACAUUUCAGUAGUUUGCAUAUAUAUGUAAAGAGGUACACCUUGAUAAUCUUUGAACCAUACAUGAUAGCACCAUGGGGCUUGGACUUUUGUCAAUCUAUUUGAAUCUAAAGUGGAAGCAAAAUGAUUUCCUGAAGCAUAUCCUCAUUAUUUAUGAAAUGGUAAAAUGUAAGCUAAUAAGGUGACAUGGUAACACAGACUGCGCGCACAGCGCGCAAUUUUUUUUUUGGAGCACCGAAGACCCAUUUUGACCCAGGAAAAACCCUGCUUUUGUAGUUUUUGGUUUGUUUGUUUGCUUUUGUAUUUGUUUGUUUGACCUAGCCUAAACCUAGGUGUAAGCUAGGUUUAGCGUGCUGCUUUCUAUUUCUUUCAUUAUUGUCCCCUCUCCUCCCUGCGGUGCUAGAGCGAUAGGUGUGGUACUGGCUGCCCCAGUGUUCUUCCCUAGUUGGAGUAAGCCUUUUCCAAAGCUUGAACUCUGCCUGGUUUUAACAGUUAGGCUUAACCCAAACUCCUCUUCCCCUUUCCUCUCCAGAACAACAGUGUUGCAGCUGUCUGCGGGGCAGGUCGCCAGAUCUGAGUCUUCCUCUUCACGCAUGCCGAACUGAUUGUAUUGAGUGAUUUGUGCCGAGUUUCACAGAAUAACAAACAUCAACCUGAAGAACCACUUCUAUGCCGAGUUGGAUCAACAUGUCCCCCGUCUUCAGAGCUUGUUCAGGAAGUAAGCUGCAAACACAGGGAGAGUAGCCGAAGUUCUGGAUCAGCUCUUCAGCACUUAUGACCGCCAGCAUCCCAAAUCAAGCAAGAAUAAGUUGAUGUCCUCCGUGGUCUUCCUGCAUAUCUGCAUGACGAUGACUCCAGGUUUCUUAAGCUGUGGGAUGUGGCGCAGUCUGAUGAACCAAACAUCAAUGACAUAUCGGUUGGGCUCCUCCUGAUCACAGGCAAUUAAACAGAUGCCACGUUCUUCUGCCCAGAGAGGAUUGCUGUUGUGCUUGAGGGCAACAUAGUUGUCGAAUUCUCCACAUUGGCUGAAGCCUUUGUCAUGCUUUUUGCACUGAUGUACGCUCUGCAUUUGAGUUACCCAAAAGACUUGGCGAAUACCUUUGACUUUACCCAGAAAGUCUUGAUGGGCUUGGAGGAUGGGAAACUGAAGCCCAGGGUGUUGAGCCUUAAAAAUGAACUUUUGGCAGUGGAGUAAUCUCACUCUGAACAGAAGUUGCUCCUUAACUUUUCGUAUGCAC
ensembl:lncRNA